rnacentral:tRNA from 1 species
GCUUUUAGCUCAGUGGUCGAGCGUUGGCUUUGGAAGCCACAGGUCGGUGGCUCGAACCCACCCAGGGCA